AAAAAAGAAGAGAAUAAUAGAAAAUUGAAAAAGAGAGAAAAUACUUGAGAAAGACUAUGAUUUGUAAUUAGGAAUAAUUAAUAGGCAAGAGGGGGCUAUGAAUUAUAAUUAAUUAAAAAUUAGGAUUUAAAUGGUAAUAAAAGCCCAAUAGUGGCUAACCCAGGCAAUUUUCCCUAUCAAGAAACACACAAAGAUUUCAACUUGGAACACAUUCCAGAACAUCAACAUGAGUACAUUCAAACCCACAACAUGGAAAUCACAAUUCAUGUUCUUAAAAGAAAUUUCUUGAACUCCAAGGGAGGAAGGGACCCUUGAACACUUUACAUACCUUGUUGAAGAAUUUCUGGAAAUUAAU
rnacentral:lncRNA from 1 species